UACGGGGGGGGCAAGCGUUGUUCGGAAUUACUGGGCGUAAAGGGCUCGUAGGUGGCCAACUAAGUCAGACGUGAAAUCCCUCGGCUUAACCUGGGAACUGCGUCUGAUACUGGGAGGCUUGAGUAUGGGAGAGGGAUGUAGAAUUCCAGGUGUAGCGGUGAAAUGCGUAGAUAUCUGGAGGAAUACCGGUGGCGAAGGCGGCAUCCUGGACCAUUACUGACGCUGAGGCGCGAAAGCUAGGGGAGCAAACGGG
rnacentral:rRNA from 1 species